CAGCACCAGCACCAACUCCACAACUUCCGUCAACUCCACCCACAACAGCACCACCUCCUCCAUCUCCAGGUUCUCCAUCUGUCCUGGAGGCUGCCAUCAGACUCAGCAUCUUCUUCAUGGUGCUGAUUGUACCUGGACUCAUUGGAACUGUUCAUUUAGUGAAGAGGAGGAAGCAGACAAGUAGAGAGAAUCCCCCAGCCAUGCAGCUCCAGGUGCUGAACUGACCAGAUGACCUCAGGAGAGUGAUGAUGUCAUUAUCCAUGCACCUUUUACAUAAUGUGGUGCUUUGCAAAGGGAAUUGAAGUUCAGUUUGAAAAUGUGCCUCUUAAUUCUUCUUCUUUCAUAUGAAAAGGAACAUCCUGAUUGUGCUA